rnacentral:rRNA from 1 species
AACGAACGCUGGCGGCAUGCCUAACACAUGCAAGUCGAACGAGACCUUCGGGUCUAGUUGCGCACGUGUGCGUAACGCGUGGGAACCUGCCUUUAGGUUCGGAAUAACUCAGAGAAAUUUGAGCUAAUACCGGUUGAUGUCUUCGGACCAAAGAUUUAUUGCCUUUAGAUGGGCCCGCGUUGGUUUAGCUAGUUGGUGGGGUAAAGGCAUAGCAAGGCGAGGAUCCAUAGCUGGUCUGAGAGGAUGAUCAGCCACACUGGGACUGCGACACGGCCCAGAAUCGUACGGGAGGGAGCAGUGGAGAAUAUUAGGCAAGGGACGAAAGCCUGAUAAAGCAAUGCCGCGUGAGUGAUGAAGGGCUUAGGGUUGUAAAGCUCUUUUACCCGAGAUGAUAAUGACAGUAUCGGGAGAAUAAGCUCCGGCUAACUACGUG